rnacentral:rRNA from 1 species
CAUAGCCACGGUAAUACGGAGGAUCCAAGCGUUAUCCGGAAUCAUUGGGUUUAAAGGGUCCGUAGGCGGUCUUGUAAGUCAGUGGUGAAAGCCCAUCGCUCAACGGUGGAACGGCCAUUGAUACUGCAGGACUUGAAUUAUUGGGAAGUAACUAGAAUAUGUAGUGUAGCGGUGAAAUGCUUAGAGAUUACAUGGAAUACCAAUUGCGAAGGCAGGUUACUACCAAUUGAUUGACGCUGAUGGACGAAAGCGUGGGUAGCGAACAGGAUUAGAUACCCCUGUAGUCCCUGUCUCUUAUACA